GACAGCUCAGUUGGUUAGAGCAUGGUUGCUGAUAACACCAAGGUUGCAGGUUCAAUCCCUGUAAGGGACA